rnacentral:rRNA from 1 species
UGAGGAAUAUUGGUCAAUGGACCAGAGUCUGAACCAGCCAAGUAGCGUGAAGGAUGAAGGUUCUAUGGAUUGUAAACUUCUUUUAUACGGGAAUAAACGAAUCCACGCGUGGAUUUUUGCAUGUACCGUAUGAAUAAGGAUCGGCUAACUCCGUGCCAGCAGCCGCGGUAAUACGGAGGAUCCGAGCGUUAUCCGGAUUUAUUGGGUUUAAAGGGAGCGUAGAUGGGUUGUUAAGUCAGUUGUGAAAGUUUGCGGCUCAACCGUAAAAUUGCAAUUGAUACUGGCAGUCUUGAGUACAGUUGAGGUAGGCGGAAUUCGUGGUGUAGCGGUGAAAUGCUUAGAUAUCACGAAGAACUCCGAUUGCGAAGGCAGCUUACUAACCUGUAACUGACAUUGAUGCUCGAAAGUGUGGGUAUCAAACAGGAUUAGAUACCCUGGUAGUCCACACGGUAAACGAUGAAUACUCGCUGUAGGCGAUAUACAGUCUGCGGCCAAGCGAAAGCAUUAAGUAUUCCACCUGGGGAGUACGCCGGCAACGGUGAAACUCAAAGGAAUUGACGGGGGCCCGCACAAGCGGAGGAACAUGUGGUUUAAUUCGAUGAUACGCGAGGAACCUUACCCGGGCUUAAAUUGCAACCGAAUAUGGCGGAAACGCUAUAGCUAGCAAUAGCGGUUGUGAAGGUGCUGCAUGGUUGUCGUCAGCUCGUGCCGUGAGGUGUCGGCUUAAGUGCCAUAACGAGCGCAACCCUUGCCGAUAGUUACUAACAGGUUAUGCUGAGGACUCUGUCGGGACUGCCAUCGUAAGAUGUGAGGAAGGUGGGGAUGACGUCAAAUCAGCACGGCCCUUACGUCCGGGGCUACACACGUGUUACAAUGGGGGGUACAGAGGGCUGCUACCACGCAAGUGGAUGCCAAUCCCAAAAACCUCUCUCAGUUCGGAUUGAAGUCUGCAACCCGACUUCAUGAAGCUGGAUUCGCUAGUAAUCGCGCAUCAGCCACGGCGCGGUGAAUACGUUCCC